GCAAUGGAUGGGGGCCCGCACAAGCGGUGGAUUAUGUGGUAUAAUUCGAUGAUACGCGAGGAACCUUACCAAGGCUAAAAUGGGAAGCGACAGGUUAAGAAAUAGACUUUUCUUCGGACAUUUUUCAAGGCCUUGCAUGGUUGUGGUCAGCCCGUGCCGAGAGGAGUUAGCUUAACUCAUGCAACGAGCGCAACCCCGGUCAUUAGUGGCCAUCAUUAAGUUGGGGACUCGAGUGAGACUGCCUACUCAAGUAGAGAGGAAGGUGGGGAUGAUGAUCAAAUCAUCAGGGGCGGUACGCCCUGUCCCACACACGUAAUACAAUGGCCGGUACAGAGGGCAGCUUCACAGAGAUGUGAUUCAAAUCUCGAAAGCCGGUCUCAGUUCGGAUUGGAGUCUGCAACUCGACUCUAUGAAGCUGGAAUCGGUAGUAAAAGCGCCUCUUCCAAGGGGUAUCGACUACGUUCCGGGACGUUGCACACAUCUUCCGCCAAGGCAUGGAAGUCUCAAGUACCUGAAGAGUUGCCCGGRCGRCGGSAGGGGCCUCAGUUGGAGGAUCC
rnacentral:rRNA from 1 species